GGACCUGUUUUUUGUCUAAAGAAGUCUGUUUUGAACACAGAGAUGGCAAAGAAAAGUUUGCUUGUCAGAAGAGGUAAGCUUUUUUGUAUGUUGGAAUUUUGGUUUCUAUGAUGAAAUUAAUCUCUUUAUAGGUAGUAAUUUAUUAUAUUAAAUAGUUGUACUUUGUGAUGGUUAAAUAAAUUGUCUCAAUUUUUGCCUGCCCACACCUCCCCCUUCUAACACACACACACAACCUAAAGUACCAAGUGGCUGUUAGGCACAUCUGUUGCAGUAAAAGUAAAAGCCCUUUGUAGAGUUCACUUGUGGAGUAGUCGAAGCAAGCAAAUUCCUAUAGUUCAAAAACCAAGUAUUCUAAGAUUUUCAGUGAUCUAUACAGUAUUAGGAAAGUUAUAUUCUUGUACACUCCAUAGAUUGUAAAGAACUGAAUAUGGAUGUUAGUUCACAUAUUCUCUCAGUUAUUUCAGAAAAGCUUACAAAAAUGUUCUCAUCCCUUUUCUUUGCCAAUCCAUGGCUAAUCGUUUGCUCCGUUUUUGUAUUAAAAAAUAAUAAUCAACAGUACAUAUAAGUUCAGCUAUUCCAGAAACUCACAUUGUAGUUUAUCUUGGUGAGAGCCAAAAGAAGCAUUUUGCUAUUCCGAUAUCAUAUGUCAACCGUCCAUUAAGGGAUACCUUCAAUGAUCUAGAUAACCAGAUAAUCCAUGACACUAUUAGUGUGAGUAAGACCAACCCAUGAGAAUAUGCUUCAACAAUAUGACAAAAGUGCAUACCUAAAAUUUUUAUGGAAAUGUCUGUUUCAAAUAGUGAAGCUGUCAAUCUUAACUAUACUCCAUAUGAAAAUGUGUGAACUCAAUUUCUUCUUGAUUUUCUUUAAUCAGUUUACAUAGCAUUAUUUUUUUGUAUAGUGAGAACUAAAAAAAUGCUAUCUUCUGCGAUGCCAAAAUUUUCCUGCAUUUCACUGAUUGAUUUAUUUGAGUCGCUCAUGGAAAAUGUAUAUGUUUGCAUGCCUUAAUUGAACUCAUAUACUUCUUGUCAUUCUAUCAACAAAGCAAUCAUCUUCCAUCUCAUUCAGGUAAACUCAGUCUCUAAUCUGCUAUGCUUUUUUUUUCCCACAUAUUCUCAAUCAAAUUAACCAUCUUCUAUAAUAUACAUGUGGAUUUUGAGUUUUUGUCAUUUGUUUUGUUCUGAUCAAAGGUGUUGUGAAAAGUUAAAGAGAGCAUAGUCAUGCACUUUGAAAGAUUCUGUAAAAUUGAUUGAUUGGUUACAUUAGACUAAUUUGAAAAGAUUUAGUAAAAUUGAUAUGUUUAAAACAAUGUCGACAUGAUCAGAUGCCACAAUAUAGGGGAGGAUUCAGUUUAUGCAGGAUAUGUCUCUGACGGGUGUGUGUGCGCCCAUGAUUCCAUUUAUCAUAGGAGACUAGGAGCUUCACCUAAGGGAACCAUAUAUAUGAAACAUAUAGAUUGUAAAGGCUUGAUAUUGUAAGAGUUGGAGUAGGAUAAAUUUAGUUCAAGUUGGGUUUUCUGAGUUUCGAACCCAUGAAUUGCUCUGCAAUGCAUACAAACUGUUUAGAUGUUGCUGCUUGAAGCUUAACAGAUAGUAAUUUCAGGACUUGGAGAUGUGUUCUUCAAAGUAGUACAUUAUGUGCCUUACUUGAGGUAGUACAUAGGAAUUUCUGUGUUCUCUUCUGGUUCCUUGCUGCAAAUAUCAAUUCUGUCUUUUUUUUUUCCUUUUAAUUUGCUUUUCAAUGUUCAAAUUUGAUUGUGACCAUCAAUUGGUAAUUAGUUCUCGACAUGUAAUUCAUGAUUUUCUGUGGUUAAUUGUGUAUUUGGUGUUUUUGUUUAUUAUGAUUAUCAAUUCGUAAUUGGUCCUCGACAUGUUAUUGAUGAUUUACUGGUUUCUGUUCAUAAUGAGAACACCAAAACUCUCCCAAUCAGACCUCUUGGCAAAUUUCGACCCUUAAAAACCUCUUAGGAUCAGGAGCUCUAAUUUUAGAUAAACUAUUAUCAUAAGGCAAUAUUAAAUUGAAUUCAACUAAAAAAUCAAUUUAAUGCAUCCUUUUAGAUUCCUGUAACUUUCAAAAAUUGUUAUAGUUUCAUGUACUUAUAUUGAUGGUUCUUUAUAACUUUGAUUGAUUGCCCCCGUCAACAACAACCUUGCUUGCCAAUAAAAAUAAUUAAAUAAAAAUAAAAAUAAAAACUUUGAUUGAUUUGAUCCUCAUCUGUAUCAACGCUUCUUUAUAGCAAUUGUGUCAUUUGGAAAUUUAUUUUGCUGCAUUGAACAUGCCCAUAUAGAUUUGUGUGCCUAAGUAUUGAUAAAUAGUGUAUACUGUAUACAAUAUGAGAUUGAAAUUUCUUAUGACUUGCUUCCUUUAUACUGAAUUGUUGAACAAAUUCAGUUUCAGUGUUCUCAGAAGGUUUGUUUACUCAUUUUUUCAAUCCAUUUUGCAGAGGUUUCUUAAAGAUAAAUAUACGAAGAGAAUGUAGUUUUUUGCUGUGGAUGGAUCGAAAAUGGCCUUAUCAAGGUCACACUCUUUCUUCUACAAUAGAGUUGGCCAUCUUGGAGCCUUAAAUUCACACUAAGGUAAUGCUCUUAAAUUUUAUUUCCUCUUCAAUUUUACUUCACGAGUUAUGUUUAGUUUUAAUUCUUUUCAAAGUUAAUUGAUCUUGGAAUUUUUUACUUAUGUUUCAGUGUAAACCUAUGAUCUGCAAUACUUUGUAAAUGAUGUCACUAUGUCCACCAUAUAUUUUAUUUGAUUGGUCUUGAUCAUUAUGACAUCCUCAAAAUUGAUUUCCGUAUAAGAUGAGACACAUCUAAGCUGUUAGAUCUGUAAAACAAAUAAUAAAACACUACCAAUUGUGUUAUAAUAUUUUUUCUUUAUGUUAUA
rnacentral:lncRNA from 1 species